UACGGAGGGUGCAAGCGUUAUCCGGAUUUACUGGGUUUAAAGGGAGCGUAGGUGGGUCGGUAAGUCAGUGGUGAAAUCUUCGAGCUUAACUCGGAAACUGCCAUUGAUACUAUCGAUCUUGAAUUAUCUGGAGGUAAGCGGAAUAUGUCAUGUAGCGGUGAAAUGCUUAGAUAUGACAUAGAACACCCAUUGCGAAGGCAGCUUACUACGGAUAUAUUGACACUGAGGCCCGAAAGCGUGGGGAUCAAACAGG
rnacentral:rRNA from 1 species